rnacentral:pre_miRNA from 1 species
CUUGGGCUUUAUGUUUGCUAGAGCUGUUUGUUAGCUAGGGCUGUAUGUUGGCUUAACCCUAGCUAACAUACAGCUCUAGCUAACAUACAGCCCUAGC